rnacentral:rRNA from 1 species
UGGCGGCGAACGGCUCAGUAACACGUAGUCAAUCUGCCCUCGGGAUGAGAACAAUCUCGGGAAACUGAGGCUAAUUCUCAAUAUCUCAAGAUUCCUGGAAUGGGUUUUGGUUUAAAUGAAAUGACAGCAUCUUGUUAUUUUGCCCGAGGAUGAGACUGCGGCCGAUCAGGCUGUUGGUGGGGUAAAGGCCCACCAAACCAGUAACCGGUACGGGCUUUGAGAGAAGGAGCCCGGAGAUGGACACUGAGACAAGGGUCCAGGUCCUACGGGGCGCAGCAGGCGCGAAACCUUCGCAAUGUGCGAAAGCACGACGAGGUUAUUCCGAGUGAUUUCCGCUGAGGAAAUCUUUUCUCAGAUCUAAAAUGUCUGGGGAAUAAGGGGAGGGCAAGUCUGGUGUCAGCCGCCGCGGUAAUACCAGCUCCUCGAGUGGUCAGGGCGUUUAUUGGGCCUAAAGCAUCCGUAGCCGGCUCAGUUGGUCUCCUGUUAAAUCCAACGGCUCAACCGUUGGUCUGCAGGAGAUACCGCUGGGCUAGGAGGCGGGAGAGGCGGACGGUACUCCGAGGGUAGGGGUAAAAUCCUUUGAUCCCCGGAAGACCACCAG